UCCUUGGAGGCAGACUGGUGUAAAGAACCUGGCCGUGGUGUCAGACAGAGAAGAUUUGAAUCCUGUUGUGGUCACUUAUAAGCAGUAUGAUUCCCUGGGUUUUCUUUUGCGUCAAAUGCAAGUGAUAAUUGGAUAUGUUUCAUAAGGCGAUUGUGAAGGCUAGAUAGGAUAAUGGAGAUGCAUCUUUUUGGGAAAACCGUUUUCUGCCCAAAGGAAAUCAGCUUUCCUGUUUUCUGUUGUUAUCAAUAUUGCUGUUUGGGUUCCCUUGAGUGUGGAUUAAAUGGCAGCUGAGAAAUCUUGUUGGGACCACCUCUUCCCAUUGCCUUUCGAAGUGAAGUCUUGACAAGAAAUGAGUUCUUCCCAAAGAUAAGUACAUUGGAGGUUGGGUCUGGUGGUAGCUUCCUAAUGAAUUUGUGGUGCACAGAUCUGUCCUUGAGCUAUUUUCUGUAAUGUUCUCACUGCAGUGUCCCAUGACUGAUCUUAUUUCAGAGAAUUGUAUGAGUUUUGCAGCAAAUUACAAGGAAGGCCUGGUUCCUAAAAUCAGCUGAAGGCCAAUUAAGGUUUCUUGGGGCGCUUUCCUUCAGCUGCAAUGUCAUCAUAAAUGACUCUCCAGUGCAGUGGAAGGCUGACAUUUUGUAAACUAAUACUAUAUUUUGGGAGUGAUUAAAAUCUCCAUCCCAGUCACCUGCCUGACCAACUGCCAGUGGCCACAAAACAAAAGGAUUACAGUCAAUUCAUAUCCAUUAGGAAAAUGACGUGAAACACUAUUGGUUUAGGCUCAGUGGGGCUUAAUCUGAUUUCAGGAAGAAAGGAGAGGUGUGCAAUUAAAGGAGAGAGGAAAGGCAGAAAAGAAAAUCAAAUGAGAAUUUUCCCCCAAAACCCAAGGCCUUUUUGGUUUGUUCAUUUCCAUAAGGAUUUAUUAAGUACCUGUUGAGUUCUUCCCACUAUGGUAGACCCUGAAAGGGAGGAAGGAGAAAACACUAGCAAUGCCUGUCCUCAGAACUUGCAGUGUAGUAGGGGGGAAAUGCUACACACUGAGGAGGUGGCCAGAGAAUUAGCAGAUUCAUGUUAGUAGGAAUUUAAAAAUAUUCUUUAAGUGCCUGGCACAGUUGGAAAAGGAAAAGAAGAUAAGUGAGAAGGGAUAGUUGACAUCUACAUGCUCUUACUGUGUGCUUCACAUUAAGUUUCACACAUAUUAACUCACCUUUACAACAGCCCUACAUACCAUUAUUAUUCCCGCUUUACGGAUGAGGAAACUGAGGCCCACAGAAGUGAAGAAACUUGCCUGAGAUCACACAGUCCGCAAGAGGAAGAGCUGGGGUUUGCAUACAGCUAGUCUGGUCCUAGAAUCUGAGGUUUUACCAUUAUUCUAUGUGGCCUCCCAAGGUGAUGGGGUAUUCCUGGCCCAUGAGGAUUUUCAUUCUCCAUGGGGAGAUGAGGUCUAGGUGUGGGGAUAAUUAAGCUACAGGUAGAGGGUGUAACAGUGGAGGCAGGGAAUAGAGUGAUUGAUGACUUCAGAAAGGUGGGUGUGCUAACUGAACUCUGGACAUGGAUGUGUAUAUGUUGGGGGAAGCUCUGCACAGAGGGAUAGAGAAGGUUCUAACCCAGGAAAAGAGCACGAGCAGAGGAGACCGAAAGAAUGGCUACAAUUUGCAGUUACUUGUUUGUAGUUGUCUAAGAAGAGAAAUCAUUAAAUCAAAGGGUGCCUUCUUACAAGGACAAGGGUUUAUAGCACUGGGGACAAGAGCAAGGAUGUGGAAUCUGACAGACUAAGUUUAAAGUUCGAUUGUGUCACAUGCUCCUCAAGUGACCUUGAGAGAGUUACCUAGCCUUUAUCUGCAAAUGCAAGAUAGGAAGAACGGCUAUAGAAGAAUUGGGAAAGUCUCUCAUCUUGUAAUGGAGCUCAUUUAUUUACUUCUUCAAAAAUAUUCAUUAGGGAACCAAUUACCUGCCAUGUGCUGUGCUAGAUGUUGGGACAAUGAACAAGGCAAACAUGAGUGUUGCUCUCUUAGAGCUUGUAUUCUAACUGGGGAGGCAACACAAUAAACAAACAGUAAUCUACAACAAGUAAUCUUAGGAUAUGAGAGGGAUUUUGAAGAAAACAUAGGGUUGGGGCCAAGUAGAAUUAAUGGCUUUUACUGUGCCAAGGACAGUGUUUGUCAGGUAGGAGGCAAUCAAAACACAGGAGCUUUCAUUUUACAUUUAUUAAUAGCUCCGUCUUGAAAUUCAACAUGUAAGAGGAAGCCAAGGUAUCAGAUACUCUUUGCUGCCUACCAGGAGGGCAUUUCUCCUUUCACCUUGCUUACAGACCCCUCUUUAAUCCAAGAUUCAUCUUACCCCCACGGGCAAGGUGUUGGGGUUACAGGAAGCUCAGGAUGGAUGUCUACAUCUCCAAGGAACUAUCACUUUCUACCAAAAUGUGAGAAGAAACUCUGGAAUGCAAUGUCAUGAAUGGGAACUGUUGUGUAUUCACUGCUUUCCCCCCAGUGCCCAGGACAGUUCCCAGCACAGAAUAGGGGCUCAACAAAUGUCUGUGGAAUUAUUAAACAGGUCAGUUGAAAUAAACAUGGAUAUAUUUUAGAAUCACACAAGCAUGGCAUAAAAUUUUAAAAAUCCAAACAGAUGGCACUGUUCCUGCUGCAUUUGAAACAUGGGCUUCCUCAGACUCUGCUCUGAAAUUGCAAUGGAGGAGAAACCAGUGGUUUCAAGAAACAGAAAUGCAGGGGAAACUGGGCCAGCCUCAGCUCUACAAGGGUGGUCACCAGCUCUGGGCCUGACAAGGGCCACAGUACAAGACGGAGACGAAGUGCCGAGUUCCCAGAGGCUGUUGGUGGUGGCGAGGCCUGUACCAUGAACGGUGUCUUCUGGAAGGAGAAAAUAUUGUGAUGAACUCUCAGAGCCUAAAGAGUUAUUUUCUUCAGAGAGAUUUUAACAUAGAGUGAGUUCUAGUACCAAAGCAGUGUAUUCGCCUCUAUUUUCUUUCUUUGUUUAUUUUCUUUAUUUCUCAGAAUGUCGGGAAGAAGUUUGAAGACAGGCUGGCCCGAAUUCACAGCCCAGGAGAGGUCUGACUUAAAAAUAAAUCCUUGUGUAAAUUAAAAAAAGAAUCUAAGCAAGCCUAUCUAUAGUGUCAGGAUGUUACUGACUGUUAAUUGAUAAUAUAUAUGGCUUAAUAAGAAAACCAUAAACUGAGUUCUGUUUAAGUCUUUAAAUCUUUUUCUGCAUAUAUAGCAUUUUUUUUACUCACUUAUUACAAAGUAUCUCACAUAACUCACCUAGAUGUUUGGCCAGAGUGAAUUUUAUGUAACAUUGAUAUAUGUCAUCAUACUGAACUUGUGUAUUAGACAUGGAAAUAUACUGAAACAUGUAAUUUCUCAUGUUGCCAUUAAUACCCAUUAAGAGAGUUGUUAAGAAAAAAAAAAGAAAGAGAGUUGUUUAGUUAUUAUUUGACCAUUGUUCCGACUGAAGAACCGAAACACCAAACACCUGGAGGAGGGACUUGUCUAAGUUCACAAGGCUAAGUGCAGGCAACACCAAUGCCUGGGGCUGUGUUUCCUAAUUCUCAGACCUGCAGUUAAUGGGAACACUUUAUCACACUAAAGUAAAUCAAUUUUCAUUCUUCCAUUUAUCUCUGCGUGCAGUGAAUGACAGAGUGACUAUACCUAACAGGGGGUCAAUAUCGAGAUGCUGGAAACAAAGAGAUGAAAAAAAUGAUUCCGUUCUCAAGAAGCUACCAUUAAUAAUGGGAGAAUCGUAAAUGCCAAUGGAUGACCAGCAAUUUGAUUAUGCAUGACUGUUACAGCAGUUAAAUAUCGAGGGCAUGCAGAAGGCAUGUAGGUAACCAGCAGGAAAGUCAGGGAAGGCUUUGCCAAGGCAGAGACAUCUGAGAUUAUCCUUAAAAGAAAAAUAUGUUUACAAGGCAGUGAGUGGGGGUGUGUGUUGGGGAAGGACACUCAAAACGGAGGGCACAGGAAGGUCAUAAACAGAGAAGUGUUAAAGGGCAUGGGCUGUCCUGGGAACGGUGAUAUAAAUUCAGUGCCGUCGGGUCCUAAGAUGUGUAGGGUGCAUAAAUGGGAGACAAGGCACGGGAACUGGAUGCCAGAAAGCUUGUUGGUCAUUCUGAGAAGUUCAGACUCAGAGCAUGAGGUGAAGAGACUCAAGGGUGUGUUGCAAGUUGUGUGUGUGUGUGUGUGUGUGUGUGUGUGGGAAGGGGAGACAUAGAUUUUGCAGACAACCUUACCUGUCAAUGAGGGUGGGCGAUAUACUAGAGAGGCUGACACUCGUAGCUGGGAGAUCAUUUCCAAGGCCAUUGCAAGGAGGCAGGUGCAAGACCAGGAUCGAGUCUAAGCCAGUGACAGCCAUCAUGGUGAGAAGCGCCAGAUGGAAGAGGCACUGACAGAACUGAGUGUCUAUUAAAGGCAGGGGGUAAGAAAGAAUUGGCAACUGAGGAUAAUUUUAAGAUAUUUUUUCAGGGAAAGUGGAAAACUAGAGCCGGGAGAUACAAGAAAGAGAAGGAGCUUGAGGGAUGGAAGGUAAGAAAGGGAGCUACCUUUGUGGUGUUGGAAGGGAAUCGAGGUGGGGGCACAGCCGCUGAAGAUGGGAGGCUGUGAGCCGGGCAGGUAGGGCAGGACACAGAUUAGGAAUUGGGUCAAAUGCAGCUUGUGUAGUUGAAAACAUGGGACGGGGAGGGGACCAUCCAGAGGCAACAAGCAGAAGGAAAUAAGAAAAGAGAAAGAACCACACCUGGGAAAUGCCGACCUUCAUUAAAAAGAACUCAGCAAAGGAGACUGGGAAGAGAAAAGAGGCAAGAAAAAGCAGUAAUUUGGAAACAAAGGGAGGAGAACUUGUUUCUCUGCCUAAAAAACUUCCCGCUAGGAAGACAGCAGCAGGAUAAGAAUCACCCAGCAAGGAUUCUUUCGGCCAGUAGAUAAUCAGGACCGGGGACCACGGUGGUGUAAGCCCAAGGUGCUUGGUGGAACCAGGAGGUGUGCUGGUUCCAGCUGGACAUGGGAGACUGAGGUAGAUGGUGCGGCCCUCCGGAAAGGGUCUCAGGAAGCUGCUUCGCAACUUGGCCUCUCUCAUUUCCUAAAGCAGGUUGGGGGAGAGAAGAAAGAAGAAGGAAUGAUCACCAAGCCUCGCUCACUGGCUUUCUCGUACUCCUCCGUCUCCUUGAUGGCAUUUAUUUCACCAAUGCUAUGAGGUGGGUGGGGGAGAGGAAUGGUAUCUGGGGAACCCUUUCCUCUGUCCUCAUGUUUUCAGGCUUCUAUCCCAGACCCUUCCAGCCUCUCUCUUACAGAAGCUGCUUCCUUGUUUCAGUUGGUAGGAUGGCCAAGGGUCUGCACAGCCUUUGGCCCACUGUUUUUUCCCAGGUGACUUAAGACCAUAGAAUCCCUGAUUCUCUUCUUGUUUUGGAAGUGACUUGAUCUGUCUGAUGCCCAUUAUCCUUUUCUAUGUCGCCAAGAGUAACCUUUGGGGAAGGUAAAUGGUUAUGACUGUUUAGCUCUUUUGCCCUAAUUUGGUUUGGUUUUUGGAAAGGGUGAAAUAUUAGGAAUCUUGGGAAUUACUGGCUAUGAAUCCAGGCUGAAUUCCCAAAUCCUGACGUGCCAGUUAUUAAACUGACGUUGACCCCUCAAUUCCACUCGUGUCUGGUUUUAUUUUAUUCAGAUUCUCAUUUGGAGGAGAAGAAAAGCAUUAUUUACUGACCUGCUCAAAUCCCAACAUAUGCUCAUUUUAUAUGUGAGGAAAUUGAAUUCAUUCAGCUUGUAAAUGACAGAGCAGGGAUUAAACCAGAGUUUAAACGCGGAGAGUCGGCCCAGGCUCCUUGUAUUUCUAUUCUUCCAUGCUUCCUCCUCAGGUUGAAAUUAUAUUGACCAAAAGAAUAAAAAAGUAUCCCAGUCAGAUGACAUGAUUCCAGUUACAAUGAGUUAUGAAUUCACUUAAGCCAGCUUCUGAUGUCCUGCUUGCUCCCAGGCUAUCAGUUCAGGAAACACUCUCUAGCAUAUUCCCACGAGGUAUAUUCU